AAGAACAUGACCCACGAACCAUGAAAAAUGGCCUAGCCUGGGAUAUUGAUAAUUUCUGUAUAUAAUAAUCUUCGGGAUAUAGGCUUUCUAGAAAUGUUUUUCUUUUUUUCAUAUAUUCUAUACUUUUUUGUUAAUAUGACGUUGAAUAUUGUGGUAUUUAAUGUUAAAAAAUUAACAUUUCGGGAUACACGUCACAACAAUAAACCUCCAAUGACCAUGUACAAUGUACAUGAACCUAUAAAUCUCUGAAUUUAUCAAGUUAUAUGCACUCAAAUAGCUAGAAUGGCUUAUUCAAUGAUCAUAAUAAGCAUUUUUGACCAAAUUUGGGAAAUAGAAAUAAGAAAUAUUUUGGAAAUGAUGUUCAAAGCCGUGAUUGUUCAACUUUACUUUUAAAUUAUUUUUACUUGAAUUUUAAAAUACUGAAAUAAGAAGAAUAAAUAUAGUAUGUAGUUUAUUUACAUGGUGGAAGAAGUGAAUCAUUGGAACAAUUCUGUUUCAUAUCAUAUUCCAUAGUUUUGGGUUUUUUUGUUUUCUUUCUUUCUUUUUUUUUUUUAGUAUUAAAACGACCGAGUAUCGAAAGCAAUGGUAACGAAAUAAGUUGACACCGCGUCUCGUCAAAACAUGUUCAAUUCGAAUUUACUCGGAAUUACACGUUCAACGAGCAUUUGCUGUGAAACCUGAUUAAAGGAAAAUUACUGUAGACACCUAAUAGUGAUUUGUACAGAAGCGAGCGCCGGCAGGAAUGAUGGCCUCUUUUGAAAUGAAGAUUUCAUGCCUUACUCCUACUGGUACUACAACUAACUUUGGACCUGGUCACUCGCAGAUACAGCAUGAAGUGUGCCCUCUUGAUGUACAUGGGGAUGGGAGUGAUACAGAAGGGGGACUAAUUGGAAGAACUGCUGCUGCUGCUGGUGGUGCUGGACUGUCUUGAAUCUGUUGCCUAACCAACUUGAUAUUCUUCUGUUUAAUAUGGGAGCAACACACACACUCUGGCAUAUAUUGCACAGAAAAUCAUGAUCAGAUGGUGCCCUCCCUAUCAGAGUGGUGAUCACUGACCUAUAUUUCUUUGAAAUCCUGGAUCUGUGUUUUGGUUUUACUCUCCAUGGACAGUUGAAGCAGAGAAAUAAUUAGGGACCACUCCUUGGCAUAUCUGGAAUAUUUAUGUCGUAUACAUGUAAUUAAAAUAUACAAUUUGGGUUGGAUGAAAAUCUUAUCUUCAUGUUAAAACCCAUUAGCCUAGGUUAUUUUUCCUAAAAUCUAAUUAUAAAUCAAUUAACUUGUUAAUUAAUGCUUGGUGAAUCAAUUAAUAAAUUGUAUUCAAAAACUUGGAAUUAUUUUUUUUUCCACUAAUAAACUGAAAAUGUGCAUC